rnacentral:rRNA from 1 species
GAUGAACGCUGGCGGCGUGCCUAAUACAUGCAAGUCGAGCGAACUGACGAGAAGCUUGCUUCUCUGAUGUUAGCGGCGGACGGGUGAGUAACACGUGGAUAACCUACCUAUAAGACUGGGAUAACUUCGGGAAACCGGAGCUAAUACCGGAUAAUAUUUUGAACCGCAUGGUUCAAAAGUGAAAGACGGUCUUGCUGUCACUUAUAGAUGGAUCCGCGCUGCAUUAGCUAGUUGGUAAGGUAACGGCUUACCAAGGCAACGAUGCAUAGCCGACCUGAGAGGGUGAUCGGCCACACUGGAACUGAGACACGGUCCAGACUCCCACGGGAGGCAGCAGUAGGGAAUCUUCCGCAAUGGGCGAAAGCCUGACGGAGCAACGCCGCGUGAGUGAUGAAGGUCUUCGGAUCGUAAAACUCUGUUAUUAGGGAAGAACAUAUGUGUAAGUAACUGUGCACAUCUUGACGGUACCUAAUCAGAAAGCCACGGCUAACUACGUG